UUACUUUAAAUCAUCUAUAUAUAUUUUUUAUUUUAAAGGUUCUAAAUAAGCGUUUUAGUAAUUUUUCUUCAUUCAAAUUUGUCUACAGCAAUGUAUUCAAAGGACACUAUACCCGCAUCUGUCUCACUCUAACAGGCAACAUAGCAAAAUUAUAUAAUUUGUAAAUAUAAAUUGUAACAUUUAGGUUAAAUUAAGAAGUUUAGUGUAAUUCAAAAAAGGCGUACAUACAUUGCAUGAUGGGUGGGACACCGUUAUAGGUGAGAAGUGGGGAAGGUAGGAUAUAGAAAGAAAUUUAAUGUAUAUCUGUAUGCAAUGAUUAAUAAUUUCUAAUGAAAAAUGAUGCUGAGCAGAGUUCAGUUAUACAAUAUACAUGUUAAAAAAGGUCAUUAUGCUUGAUUGUCAUAUCCAAAUUUGAUAUUAAAAUUCUUAUAAAAAAUAAUAUACUACAUUAAUAACUACAAAUACGACUAACAAUAAACCUCC